rnacentral:rRNA from 1 species
UACAGAGGGUGCAAGCGUUAAUCGGAAUUACUGGGCGUAAAGCGUGCGUAGGUGGUUUUUUAAGUCAGGUGUGAAAUCCCCGGGCUCAACCUGGGAACUGCAUUUGAUACUGAAAAGCUAGAGUGUGGUAGAGGAUAGUGGAAUUCCCGGUGUAGCGGUGAAAUGCGUAGAUAUGACUCGGAAGGCCAACGGCGAAGGCAGGUUACUGGUACGCAACUGACGCUGAGGCACGAAAGCGUGGGGAGCAAACAGG